UCGAUAAACGUGUAACUUAAAAACGAGAAGUCGAAAAAAGAAAAAAAAAGCUAAAAAGUUUUCCAUGCAUUCGAAUCACAACAUCAGCGGGAAAAACCAUCGAGAAGGCCCAAGCGAUAACGGCACCGAUACGGAUGGCGGAACCAACUUAGCAUGUUUUUCGGGGUCCAGGCCAGCAGCUUUAAAGAUGCUUCGACCCAAACCGUGCCGCCUACCCUUUCAGCGAUGCAUACGAGCUACUGGAAUCGGUCGAGUCAUAUCAGGCUCCUGGUUGGCGUUCUAGGUGUUGGCCGUCGAGCUUCGGCUCUACCAGGGCGUAGCUAUAUAUACCGUCCGUCAGUACUUGGUCCAUGAAGCAACUGGCUCUAACAAUUGUGAUAAAAUUUAGUUGUUUGUUAGAUUGUGGAAAAAAACAAUUAAAAUCUUCAAAAAGCGAUUGAACUUUUUAUCCGAAAUUCAAGUACAUUCAUAUAUGAACAAACAA